UGCUUUCAAACAUCUCAGGAAAAAAAAGUCUUGAGGGAAAGAGAUAAAACUGAAUUGGCAAGCGUUGAUCAUGGCUGAAGCUGGAGCUGGGAGAUACGUACGUGGGAACUCAUUGCACAAGAAAGAAGAGCUGUCCUUAUGGGGUAAAGACAGAGGGAAGAUGUAAGCCUCGUCUUCAAGAACGCAGUCGUCCCCCCAACGUCCCAUUCUUUCCUAAGACACAGCCGCUGGGCUGCGUGGACACAUACUUUAAUGCUUGCAUUUUGAGCCCUUUAGGAGAAGAGCAUGGCAUAAAACUGCAAGGUUUCAUUAUCAUCAUUAAUAAUAUUAAUUUUUAAAGCUGA